AUUGAACGCUGGCGGCAGGCCUAACACAUGCAAGUCGGACGGUAGCACAGAGGAGCUUGCUCCUUGGGUGACGAGUGGCGGACGGGUGAGUAAUGUCUGGGGAUCUGCCCGAUAGAGGGGGAUAACCACUGGAAACGGUGGCUAAUACCGCAUAACGUCGCAAGACCAAAGAGGGGGACCUUCGGGCCUCUCACUAUCGGAUGAACCCAGAUGGGAUUAGCUAGUAGGCGGGGUAAUGGCCCACCUAGGCGACGAUCCCUAGCUGGUCUGAGAGGAUGACCAGCCACACUGGAACUGAGACACGGUCCAG
rnacentral:rRNA from 1 species